CUCGGCCUCCCAAAGUGCUAGGAUUACAGGCGUGAUUGUUACUCUGUGAUAAAAAAAUUCUUGUUCCUGCUGUUAGUACUUUUAAUUCAUUAACCCAGGUGUCAACUGUUCCUAUCCAAAUAUUUGGGAAAUCGAAGAUCUGUUUUUGAAAAAACUAGGCCAGAGGCACUCCUGAAGAUCUAGUCACAGUGCAGUGAUAUUGCCAGCAGCCGCCCACAGAGAUAUGUCUUAUGGCUGUAUUAAGAAUAUAAGCUACACUCUUUAAUGUUCAGAACAGAAUAUUCAUUCUGCUGCUUUUGUAGUUACUAAAUCACAGAGCAACAAUAUGGAAAUUAGAAUUUUAUCCAUUUGUCAGAAAAUAUGCUCAUGGUUUAUGUGACCUAAUACUUUCCAAAAGCUCUUGAGACCUCUCAUAUUUGUAAGAGAAUAUGUAGGGAAUAGGUUAACCCCAUUUUUUUGCUUUGGUAAACUUCAUCUGAGAUUAGGCCAAAUCAUCUGAAAGCAAUACUGCCUGGGCUGCUACUUGCCUUCCUCUUUGAUACUACGUCCUUGGCUUUCACAGGCAAAACCAUAUGACACAUCUGUUUGAAGAAAAUACACAGUCUCUUUUGCAGAAGUCUCACCUAAUUACAUGUAUUGAUUAUCACUGAAAUUCAUUAAGGAUUACUAGAUAGUACCAGCGGUUACCCCUCCAGACACAUGGAUGUGCUGCUGGCCUUGUGGCAAUGAGAACUCAAGACCUUACCAUUGUCUUUGCUUCAGCUGCCAGGAAAUGCUGAAAUUAUUUCCCUCUCAACCGAAGGAAUGAACCUAACCAUUUUUCUGCUCCCUUAGUUUGUGUUCUAUUUUUGUUACUAAUCUCUCUUUCCAUACAUCUUAACAGAGAAACAGCCCUGCGUCACUAACAAAAUACAAUGCUUAGUUAUUUCUCCUUUAAGAAAUAUAUUUGUCUAGAGGGUUUAAGUCAGGAAUUCCCACAUUUGCCAUAAUGCUCCAGGUGGUAACACAGCCACUCCCCUUGCAUGCCUAAUGUAUAUAAUUUUUUUCUAUAAUCAAUUAUAGUAAAAAAAUCAGAGAUCACCUCAAGACACAGUACACACCCAGUAACGACAACGUGCCCGGCUCCCCGCCUCCGUGAGCAGCACUUCACGGUAGCAGGAGGUGCCUGGUGUGUGUGGAGAGGAAGGAUGCAGAGAGAUGCUCUACGCGAGUAGCCGAAAAGUCAGCAGGGACCCAGAGGCUGCGGAGCCGGACCGCGGAGCAGAGGCCAGGCCGGUGGGCAGGAGGUGGUGGGAACACCGAAGGACUGAAUCCGCUCCUCUAAUGAAAGGGCCCUUCUUUCCAGGGGAUUAUAAGAAUAUUCAUGACCCUUGAGAUCAGCAGAUUGGAUUACAGAGGACAUCGGGCAAUCGUAAUCAGCAGUCUGGAGAUUCAUGACCCCUCUCCACAGCCUGACUCCAGGGUACACGGGCAAGAUAAUAGUGACAACAGCCAUGAAAUGAAGGAGGCUGGCUUUCCAUGACCCCACACAUUCUGCCUAAGGCCACACACCUCCCAAAGGCCACAGUGAAUGAGCAGGCGGGCCUGGGCACUCAGGUUUCUCUGGUAAGUGAUAAAUCUAAGUCAAUAUCGCAAAGUAGACGUGGCUCCUCUGGCUCUGCAAAUAUUGGACCAAAGACUUGAGUGCAGCGAUGCUAUUGACGAUUACGAGAUGGCGGCAUUGUUGUCUUUGUUACCAUGAAGUGCAGCUCGGUGGAGCCUGGCCUAACACCCUGUGUACACAGCGGGGACAGUGUGUUCGGAGGCCCGUGUGUUUGCUCUGCCAAUAUGCGCUGGUGGCCAGCCCUCAGACACUCCCCACUCCCAUGGUUACAGCUGGGGGUGUUUGAAACAUACCGUCCUCUCCCGUACGCCCCGGGGCUGCCGAACAGCGUCGAAGCCACAUGCUCCUCUCCUUAUUUUAGUUCUUUUUAAACAAUAUUUGUAUUGAAGUACAGUGCACACAUAUCAUCCGCAUAGCUUGAUGAAUUUUCACAAACUGCCACAGCCUUGUAUUGAGCACCCAGGACAAGAAAUUGAAUAUUUCCAACAUCCUCCAAGCUCACCGGUGCUCCUUCCCAGGAAUCACUCCAGCAAAGUGCCCACUAUCCAGACUUCUAAUAUAGAUUAGGCUCGCUUGC